AAAUACUAAUAGCAUGGACAAUGAUAAUGACUGGUCCAUAGAAGGUACCAAUUAAAUUAGACUCAUUUUCUUUCAUUUACCUUCUCAGUACCUGAUGUCACAAGCUCAUUAUGAGGUCAUGGGGCUCCUGAAGAUAAACUCACGUGUUUGUUAAAACCUUGCUAAAGUUUAUUAAAGCUUGUCAAAGAAGAUUCUGAUUUGCUGAGACUGCUUUAAAACAUCUGACUCAAGACAAAUAAAUCAAGACAUCUUGAUUCCUUUGAAGAAAGGCAGCCAGGAAAUGUGAAGCAUGGUGAUGGUGGCCUUUUCAGGAGUGGGUGG
rnacentral:lncRNA from 1 species